rnacentral:rRNA from 1 species
AGUGAACGCUGGCGGUAGGCCUAACACAUGCAAGUCGAACGGCAGCACAGUAAGAGCUUGCUCUUACGGGUGGCGAGUGGCGGACGGGUGAGGAAUACAUCGGAAUCUACUUUUUCGUGGGGGAUAACGUAGGGAAACUUACGCUAAUACCGCAUACGACCUACGGGUGAAAGUAGGGGAUCUUCGGACCUUGCGCGAUUGAAUGAGCCGAUGUCGGAUUAGCUAGUUGGCGGGGUAAAGGCCCACCAAGGCGACGAUCCGUAGCUGGUCUGAGAGGAUGAUCAGCCACACUGGAACUGAGACACGGUCCAGACUCCUACGGGAGGCAGAAGUGGGGAAUAUUGGACAAUGGGCGCAAGCCUGAUCCAGCCAUACCGCGUGGGUGAAGAAGGCCUUCGGGUUGUAAAGCCCUUUUGUUGGGAAAGAAAAGCAGCAGGUUAAUACCCCGCUGUUCUGACGGUACCCAAAGAAUAAGCACCGGCUAACUUCGUG